rnacentral:rRNA from 1 species
UGGGGAAUUUUGGACAAUGGGCGCAAGCCUGAUCCAGCAAUGCCGCGUGAGUGAAGAAGGCCUUCGGGUUGUAAAGCUCUUUUGUCAGGGAAGAAACGGUUCCGGCUAAUAUCCGGAAUCAAUGACGGUACCUGAAGAAUAAGCACCGGCUAACUACGUGCCAGCAGCCGCGGUAAUACGUAGGGUGCAAGCGUUAAUCGGAAUUACUGGGCGUAAAGCGUGCGCAGGCGGUUUUGUAAGUCUGUCGUGAAAUCCCCGGGCUCAACCUGGGAAUUGCGAUGGAGACUGCAAGGCUAGAAUCUGGCAGAGGGGGGUAGAAUUCCACGUGUAGCAGUGAAAUGCGUAGAGAUGUGGAGGAACACCGAUGGCGAAGGCAGCCCCCUGGGUCAAGAUUGACGCUCAUGCACGAAAGCGUGGGGAGCAAACA